CACGUUGUUAGUCGGUGAUUGUAUCAACGCUUUCUUUUUAACACGCGGUCUGGAUGGUCUUCAUCCAGAUCCGUUUUUCAUAUUUUUUCCGAAUUUGUGUUAAAUACUGGUAUUUAUAGUAAAGAACUAACUCGUUAAUCAUUCAAACAACAGAUUCGGUCAGUUUGUUUGUGUCCUUCCUGUAGAAUAUCUUGUAAUUAUGUCCGAUCAAAACUUUGUAAAUAAUAGAAAAAUGGCUAGUUGUGAUCUUUCAUUAUCAUAUAGUAGCAAGUGUCGAUUCUCGUAUACCUCAUGGUCUUGGUGUCCAACCUGUGAUAAAGAAUCGCCUCGUCGAAGGUGUAGAAGUGAAUCAUUAGAGCCUUGCCGUAGAAAGGGUAAGGAAAUGAAAAAUUUUUCCCCUAGAAAAUACGAAAAGAAUCGAGAGUAUGAGAACAUGGAUUUAGAGUAUGAAAAUAAAGACUUUCGCUUUGAUAGCUGCCGUAUCAGAUCAAAUUUAUGUGAGUUGCCAACCACUUACAUUUCAAACAACUGCCAAUUGACAAAAGUAGUCUCAGAGUGUCAAAACGACUACAGUGACAGUUCAGAAAAAAGUUCAAAAAUUUACGAAAACUCAUUCAAGUCAUUUGAUGUUCGUAAUCAGACUUUAAAUUUUGGUAAUAUGUUAGAAAAACAGGACAAAGACAAAAAAGCACUUGCAAAAGAGGAAGAGGGUAAUAAGAGUUUGAAAAGUAUCAACAAAAUCAGUUUUUCAGUUGAUCAUGUUAAGCCCCACUUUCUACCAAAAAGCGCCGAUUGCAACCGGCAAUCACACUCAACCGGUGUCGCUAAAGUAAAUUCUCUGAAUGGCUUUUAUUCUGG